CAGUAGCCGCGGUAAUACGAGGGGUGCAAGCGUUAUUCGGAUUGAUUGGGUGUAAAGGGUGUGCAGACGGCUUAUUAAGUCACUUGUUAAAUUCUUCGGCCUAACUGAAGGUCUGCAAGUAAUACUGAUGAGCUAGAGGUUGGAAGAGAGAAGUGGAAUUCUCGGAGUAGCGGUAAAAUGCGUAGAUCUCGAGAGGAACACCAAUGGCGAAGGCAGCUUCUUGGUCCAUUCCUGACGUUCAUACACGAAAGCGUGGGGAGCAAACAGGAUUAGAUACCCGAGUAGUCCCUGUCUCUUAUAC
rnacentral:rRNA from 1 species